UCCCUGGUGGUCCAGUGGUUAGGACUCCACGCUUCCACUGCAGGGGGCACAGGUUCGAGUCUUGGUCAGGGUA
rfam:TPA: Bos taurus chromosome 12, whole genome shotgun sequence.